GCUUAUGGCUCUAUAACUUAAAAACACAAAUUCUCAUUCAAUCACCCAAGUUCAGCAACUUCAAACCUGGUUAGUACUUAGAAAGGCAACCACUUGGGGAGACCCGGCUGCUGUAAACC
rnacentral:rRNA from 1 species